UGGGGAAUAUUGGACAAUGGGGGCAACCCUGAUCCAGCGAUGCCGCGUGAGUGAAGAAGGCCUUCGGGUCGUAAAGCUCUUUAGGUUGGGAAGAAGGUGUGAUGGGGAUAAUCUAUCAUGCUUGACGGUACCGACAGAAUAAGCACCGGCAAACUCUGUGCCAGCAGCCGCGGUAAUACAGAGGGUGCAAGCGUUAAUCGGAGUUACUGGGCGUAAAGGGCGCGUAGGCGGUGAGAUGUGUGUGAUGUGAAAGCCCCGGGCUUAACCUGGGAAGUGCAUCGCAAACUAUCUGACUGGAGUAUAUGAGAGGGUGGCGGAAUUUCCGGUGUAGCGGUGAAAUGCGUAGAGAUCGGAAGGACGUCAAUGGCGAAGGCAGCCACCUGGCAUAAUACUGACGCUGAGGCGCGAAAGCGUGGGGAGCGAACAGGAUUAGAUACCCUGGUAGUCCCACGCUGUAAACGAUGAGGACU
rnacentral:rRNA from 1 species